GAAGCAGUCACAGCUGGAAAUUACGAAUUCCACAAGCUUCUUUCCCUUUUCUCCACUUUCUUCCUCUGGAUGCCAAGGUUUCUUCCAGCUGUCUGGAAAGAACAUCCUUCUGGGAGCCAGUUCAUGCUAAAGUGUCAGUCACAGUGGGUUUUCCUCAACAGGAAUAAAGCUGGCACAGAGCCUGUUCAUGGUGGAUACUUCAUAAAUGUUUGUUCAAGAAUAAAUUAGCCCACAAAAGAAUAAAUGAUGGAGUCGGAGAGACGGGAGAAGGAAAUGGAAGGUUCCUUGGAGGACUUUGGCUGUGUCAGGUAUCAGGUAGCAUCAUUCUAGACUGGAGUAGAGUGCCG